CCUACGGGAGGCAGCAGUAAGGAAUAUUGGUCAAUGGAGGCAACUCUGAACCAGCCAUGCCGCGUGCAGGAUGACGGCCCUAUGGGUUGUAAACUGCUUUUAUACAAGAGAAAACCCUGGUACGUGUACCAGGUUGAUAGUAUUGUAAGAAUAAGCAUCGGCUAACUUCGUGCCAGCAGCCGCGGUAAGACGAAGGAUGCAAGCGUUAUCCGGAUUCAUUGGGUUUAAAGGGUGCGUAGGCGGACUGAUAAGUCAGUGGUGAAAUCUCUUUGCUUAACAAAGAAACUGCCAUUGAUACUGUCGGUCUAGAGUAUAGAUGACGUUGGCGGAAUAUGACAUGUAGUGGUGAAAUACUUAGAUAUGUCAUAGAACACCGAUUGCGAAGGCAGCUAACGAAACUAUAACUGACGCUGAGGCACGAAAGUGCGGGGAUCAAACAGGAUUAGAUACCCUGGUAGUCCGCACCGUAAACGANNAUACUCUGUG
rnacentral:rRNA from 1 species